CCUACGGGAGGCAGCAGUGGGGAAUAUUGGGCAAUGGAGGUAACUCUGACCCAGCAACGCCGCGUGAAUGAUGAAGGUCUUCGGAUUGUAAAGUUCUUUUCUAAGGGAAGAAGAAAGUGACGGUACCUUAGGAAUAAGCCUCGGCUAACUACGUGCCAGCAGCCGCGGUAAUACGUAGGAGGCAAGCGUUAUCCGGAAUGACUGGGCGUAAAGGGUGCGUAGGUGGUUUGACAAGUUGGUAGCGUAACUCCGAGGCUUAACCUCGGCACUACUACCAAAACUGUUGGACUCGAGUGCAGGAGGGGCAAAUGGAAUGCCUAGUGUAGCGGUGGAAUGCGUAGAUAUUAGGAGGAACACCAGUGGCGAAGGCGAUUUGCUGGACUGUAACUGACACUGAGGCACGAAAGCGUGGGGAGCAAACAGGAUUAGAUACCCCUGUAGUC
rnacentral:rRNA from 1 species